AAGUCGUAACAAGGUUUCCGUAGGUGAACCUGCGGAAGGAUCAUUAAUGAAAUAAUAAUUUUUUGGGGUUUUCCCUGAAAAAUAAUUCACCUUUUGUGCACUGUUAAAAGAUAUACUUUGGUUAGAGCUUUGAUUUCAUUUUUUGAAAUCAACUUCUUGCUGACUCUAUCCUUUCUGAGGACAGUUGGCUAUGAAGCGGCCUACCAAGGUUUUUUAUCAAACACAUUUAAUUUAUCUGACCUAAACUACUAUAAUAAAAUCAUAACUUUCAACAACGGAUCUCUUGGCUCUC
rnacentral:misc_RNA from 1 species